rnacentral:rRNA from 1 species
UACGUAGGGUGCAAGCGUUGUCCGGAAUUAUUGGGCGUAAAGAGCUCGUAGGCGGCCUUCUAAGUCGAACGUGAAAUCCCUGGGCUCAACCCAGGAACUGCGUCCGAUACUGGAAGGCUUGAAUCCGGGAGAGGGAUGCGGAAUUCCAGGUGUAGCGGUGAAAUGCGUAGAUAUCAGGAAGAACACCGAUGGCGAAGGCAGCUCUCUGGGACGGUACUGACGCUGAGGUGCGAAAGCGUGGGGAGCAAACAGG